UCGCUCAAUUAUUCUUACACAUGAGUUGCUUCUGUGGUUGAAGAUGUGCUUCAACAACACGGUACUCGCCUCAAAGAUCUUGAUUUGGAAUCUAGAAAAGUGGAAUAAGCUGCUAUUUUGAGACUGAAAAAUAAAUUCUAUAAAAUGCAACAUAUAGAAGAUAUGAAGCAGCAUGGUGGUUGAGAAAAAUGGUUGGAGUUGUUGCAGCUAAAUAUUUACCCGUAGAGACUUCUAAGGAAGAGUUUCGGCUUUGUUUGAGGAGUGGGAUCAUUCUUUGUAAUGUUCUUAACAAAGUUCAACUAGGUUGGAGAGUCAUUAUCAACAUUUCAGUAUUUUGAAAACAUUAGAAACUUUUUGGUGGCUGUUUAGGAAAUCAGAAUUCCUACAUUUGAAGAAUUUGAUAUGGAACAAGUAUGUAAAGGAUCAUAUGUUUAAUACUGUUAGAAUUUCAAGAUUAUUAGAAUUUAUGAAUAAGUAUUGCAUUUAACUUAAGGUAUGUUUGACGUGUUUUCUA